rnacentral:lncRNA from 1 species
AAUAAAUCUAUAUUUGUAAGGUUUUUUGUGUAGCUUCGGAAGCCAGUGCAUAGUUGGGACUUUCAUUGUAUUUGGUUCUGCUUGUAAAGAAGUAGCUAAAAGUUUGUGUUUGUUACAGAUGUCGUUUUCUGAAAAUGAAGUCAGUUGGAAUGUUGGUGAAUUAGUGAUUUCCUUUUGCAGAACCUCUAUAUAAAAUUUACGUCAAACAAUAAUGAUAUUAUUAGCAGCUUUAUCAACCGGGACAAAAACAAAUUCCUUGGCUAGUUCUUUUAGUUUAUGUUUGAUACGCGAAAUAGGGUUUUUAUG